rnacentral:rRNA from 1 species
GAUGAACGCUGACAGAAUGCUUAACACAUGCAAGUCAACUUGAACUUCGGUUUGGGUGGCGGACGGGUGAGUAACGCGUAAAGAACUUGCCUCACAGCUAGGGACAACAUUUGGAAACGAAUGCUAAUACCUGAUAUUAUGAUUAUAUGGCAUCGUAUAAUUAUGAAAGCUAUAUGCGCUGUGAGAGAGCUUUGCGUCCCAUUAGCUAGUUGGAGAGGUAACAGCUCACCAAGGCGAUGAUGGGUAGCCGGCCUGAGAGGGUGAUCGGCCACAAGGGGACUGAGACACGGCCCUUACGCAUACGGGAGGCAGCAGUGGGGAAUAUUGGACAAUGGACCGAGAGUCUGAUCCAGCAAUUCUGUGUGCACGAUGAAGUUUUUCGGAAUGUAAAGUGCUUUCAGUUGGGAAGAAAAAAAUGACGGUACCAACAGAAGAAGUGACGGCUAAAUACGUG